rnacentral:rRNA from 1 species
GUGUCAGCAGCCGCGGUAAUACAGAGGGGGCUAGCGUUGUUCGGAAUUACUGGGCGUAAAGGGCGCGUAGGUGGCCUGUUAAGUCGAACGUGAAAUCCCCGGGCUCAACCCGGGAACUGCGUCCGAGACUGGCAGGCUCGAAUCCGGGAGAGGGAUGUGGAAUUCCAGGUGUAGCGGUGAAAUGCGUAGAUAUCUGGAGGAACACCGGUGGCGAAGGCGGCAUCCUGGACCGGUAUUGACGCUGAGGCGCGAAAGCCAGGGGAGCAAACGGGAUUAGAAACCCGUGUAGUCC